rnacentral:lncRNA from 1 species
CAGGGUCUCCCAGGGGCCGUGGGCAGCCCAGGCAGAAGGGGAUCGCCAGGUUUUGCUGGCUCGCAGGGAGACAGAGGCCACAGUGGACUCCCUGGACCAAUAGGCCCUCUGGGAAGACCAGGAGCUGAUGGAGACCCAGGCUCCCUGGGCGCGAAGGUGAGAGCGGGGAGCGAGGGUGGCCGCGAACGCGCUGGGGGGCUGGCUGGAGCACCCCGUGG